AGCAGAGAGCUCUUCGACAGACUUUCAGGUCAAUAGAGAAGGAACGUGCAGUAAAAAGGGGGCAGGGCUACACGCUUAUACCGGAAGUAGCUGAAAUGAGUUGCAGUUUUGAGCCUGUGGUCGACUGAAUCGACUAGAAAGCCUUUGUUGAUCUGAGUUUUCUUUCUACUCCCGGACAAUAGCUUGUGUCAACUGGAUUUUCUCAAGACUUUAUUAGACUGAAUGUUAUAACCACUCACUGAAUAAAGCUUGAUUAAUAACCAUGCCAAGGUGUGUUGUAAAAAACUGUCCUCACUGGACCGGAAAAAAAGGAUCACAAGUCAUUCUACAUGGAUUUCCAAAUAAUAGUCGAUUAAUAAAAUUAUGGCUCAGUCAGACAAAGCAAGAUUUUGGAGAUGUUGAGGACUUCACACAAAAAAUACUUGAAGGGAAAAAAAAUGAUCUCUACAGGCUCUGCUCUAAGCAUUUUACUAAUGACUCCUAUGAGAUAAGAGGAACAAAGAGAUUUCUGAAGUAUGGUGCUGUCCCUACUGUGUUUGAAGACACUCCUCCAUUGAAAAGAAGAAAAGGACAGACUGCAACCAUUAUGAAAGAUUGUGAGACACAGACUGACAACCCGAUUCAAGAUUUAACUGUAAUUUCAAGAAAUAGGGCUCGCAUGACAAAUUCAAAGCUACGUUUAAAGAGUAGGGGUACUCAGAUAGAACCAAAAUACUUUACAGCAAAUUGCGGCAUUCAGUGUCAAUUAUUGAUUCCAAAUCCUGAAGAGAACGAUCAAGACAGAGCACAUAUAGUGCAAAUGGAACACUUUUAUCCAAUAUCUUUUUAAACACCUUUGAAGACUUCUACAGUUCACCUGCAAGAAAACGUAUUCCACUCUACAAAAUAAAUAAUAUAUAGAACUAAAAACUCGGAAAGUAAUAGGGCAAUCUGAAUGUGUCAACGUGCUAUGAGUCUAUAGACGGUAAUGUCACAAAUAGCUCUCUUACACCAGUAUAUGUUGGCAGCAAAUAUUUGAAUUCAUGUUAUUUGUAUGUCUAACUUUAUUAACCGUGUCUGCCACAUUGGUUUCUAAAACUCACUGUGCUAGAGUUAUGUGAUCCUGUAUAUAUGGAAACCUGUUAUUGAGAAUGCCCUGAAUUACGGAAAGACUAUCUUCCACACACCAUUUUAAUUAAAUAAUUCCAAUAUCUUAAAAAA